rnacentral:rRNA from 1 species
UACAUAGGUCCCAAGCGUUGUUCGGAUUCACUGGGCGUAAAGGGUGCGUAGGCGGUCAGGUAAGUCUGAUGUGAAAUCUCUGGGCUUAACCCAGAAAUGGCAUUGGAUACUAUUUGGCUUGAGAGUUGGAGGGGGGACUGGAAUUCUUGGUGUAGCAGUGAAAUGCGUAGAUAUCAAGAGGAACACCAGUGGCGAAGGCGAGUCCCUGGACAACUUCUGACGCUGAGGCACGAAAGCUAGGGGAGCAAACAGG